AUAGCUCAUAUUUGUAUGGAAUGGGAUCGUUUGCGUACGUUUGCCGUUAGGGGCGCUGUUCCAACUGCAUACAAAAUUGGGUUA
rnacentral:pre_miRNA from 1 species